AAGUGCGCGCUGCUUUGAGGUUCUCGUCUGGCGACAGACGAGUUAAACGGGAAACAGGUGAGGGAAGAUCAACCCGAUGCCUGUGCUGCCCCCGCAACGGUAAGCGAGUGCGGAUUUGCCAGUAUGCCACUGUGAACAAUCAUGGGAAGGCGGCAAAUCAAGACUUGCGAGCCCGGAGACCGGCCUGGGAGCAAAGGAACAG
rnacentral:ncRNA from 2 species